UAGAGAAAGUGCUGUUCCAAUUUUCAACUCUCUAACUUUAUUAGUUUCAGAGAUAUGGGCAUUUUGUGCCUGAAGAUAUCAAAUGUCUUUGAAAAUUAUUUUUUUCAACUUCCAAGGCGAAUAUCUUCGUUCUAAAAAGUGUUUGAAAAAAACGCUGAAAUAGGUGUCCAAUGAUUUUAUUAGAGGAAGUGGUGUUCCAAUUUUCAACUCUCUAACUUCAUUAGUUUCAGAGAUAUGGGCAUUUUGUGCCUAGGAUAUCAAAUUUCUUUGAAAAUUAUAUUUUUCAACUUCCAAGGCGAAUAUCUUCGUUCUAAAAAAUGUUUGGAAAAAACGCUGAAAUAGGUGUCCAAUGAUUUUAUUAGAGGAAGUGGUGUUCCAAUUUUCAACUCUCUAAAUUUAUUAGUUUCAAAGAUAUGAGCAUUUUGUG